GACGAACGCUGGCGGCAGGCUUAACACAUGCAAGUCGAACGGAAAGACCGUGCGAUCGUGGUCUGCCCGCGUGGGGGACGGGUGCGGAACACGUGAGUAACCUGCCCUUGAUUUUCGGAGAACUUCAGGAAACGGCAGCUAAUCCAGGACAGCAUCCCCUCCUGCAUGGUGGGGGGUGGAAAGUUUCGGCGGUUGGGGAUGGACUCGCGGCUGAUCAGCUUGGUGGUGGGCUAGUGGCUUACCCAGGCUUAGACUGGUCGCCGGCUCGAGAGGGUGACCGGGGACAAUAGGACUAAGAUACGGAGCAGACUCCUACAGGAGACAGCAGUCGCGAAUAUUGCACAGUGAGCCGAAGCGUGAUGAAGCGACGCCGCGUGCGUGAAGACGGACUGUGGGUAGUAAAAAGCUUUCGCCUGUGACGAAGCUUGAGUGACGGUAACGGGUAAAGAAGCACCGGCUAACUACGUG
rnacentral:rRNA from 1 species